ensembl:antisense 4933429H19Rik RIKEN cDNA 4933429H19 gene
CACCACAGAGCCCUCGGCCGAGCGGCCGCUAACACCGUCCCGCCUCGAGACCGUCCCGGCGCCGCGACCCCGCGGAGACGGCCUCCGGGCGUCCGGCCGCUCGGGACGUCUCCCCCUGUCCCUCCUCGUCCCAGCGCGCCCGAGCCCGUCCCCGGUCCCACGGCCCCGCCGAGCUACCUGGAUCCGCUUCUUGUGUCGCCUGCGUUCCGCCAUGUUGGCCGCUCCGCCCGGUUCCUUCUGACGUGGAGCGAGUCGGGGAGGGGGCGGCUGAGAUCUCGCGAGAGCGCGGCGGCUCGCGGCCCGUUAUGUAACCCGCCGCGGGCUCUGGGCUGGGGGCGGCCUCCGUGGUCUUCCCGCCGUCCGUGCGGUGGCGGACGACGCGGGCUGCUUCUGCUUCUGGUCCCGGAGGCCGGCGCCACGUGA